ensembl:lincRNA
UGUUCGGACACGUCACCCUAUCAACCACCUGUUGAGUCUCAACGUGCCUGGACGGAAGGAACAGUCUUUGCUUGCUCAAAGCUGUAUAUAUUAGUGGUAUUUACAGAAGGGCAUGUGAUAGAAAAAGUAAAUAACUGAAUUUGUUCAUAGCUUCCUGUUUCCUUCUUGAUUCUUCAGGAGAGGAUGCCUUUUCCCUUUGGAAGUACAGAUUCUCCUUGGACAAAACUUAAUUAAAACUCCAGCUAGAUUAGUAAACUUUGGUUAAUGAAUUGGCCUCAGGAAGCCCCUACAUUUUCAUGGCCUCGUAGAGUUCAGUGAAAAUGUUUAUUAAGGGACACAGCCUGUCCUGCUCUGACCCCAAGACACUGAAGACUCUGUUUGAAUCAGACUCAAGGGCUUCUUCCUCCUCACCACUCUCAAGGACAGGAAUGCUUCUGGUGAAGACGUUUGUGGUGGCUCAUGGAGCUUCCAUUCACCAGGCUGGAAAUGGCAUUCAUUUUACUGGCUUUUGUUAUCUUUUCCUUAUUUACUCUGGCUUCCAUCUACACUAACCCAGAGGAGAGGAAUGAAGAGGAAGAAUACCAAAUAAAGGAAGAGAAAAAGAAAAGAAAAGCCUCCAAAAAGAAGAAAAACUCCCCAAAGGAAGAACACAAAACUGAAGCUAUUUAGGUUCACGGAGGCCACCUAUGACAUCACAGUCACAGAAACUUUCCACUGAGGACAUGGAGGAAGUGGCCAAAGGAGCUACUGACCCACAGUUAAUAAGAGGAAGAGAUGAUCAAUAAAGCUAAAAAAUGCAAUUACCAAUCAGGCAAGAUGGUAACAACCCUUAACAAAGGAAAUCCUGGGGAGAAGGCUUCCUAACAUUUUUGUGACUCAGCUUUAUUUAAAAAUAUUUAUUGUGCCAAUGAAGAGUGAUAUGCCAUGCGAGGUGCAACUGUUUAUACAAAAGAAUACGGCCAAAGUGGUAAUAAUAGUAAGAUAGUACAAAGAGCAAGAAGAGCCCAAAUCACGCGUGUUAAUAAUUUGCUAAGAGAAAAAAUAAGCUCAUUUUAAUCACUUGUUUAAACUUGAGAUUCAUAUGGUAACAUGUAAGAGACUUAAUUGUCCUAAUACAUGAUGUGCAAACUACAAUCAACUGUGUAACUACUUCUUUUCUGAAAUAAACAUGAAAUAGAAAGAACUACAUAUUUUCACUGAGUUAAGGUAGAAAUUUUGAAUUGUUUACACUAAAUAAAAAUACUAUCAUCACUUCAGUGGGUUAUAAAACAUAAAUUUUUAAGUUCUGCAGCACAAUAUGGUUUACAAUGACAUGAGUCUUUAUAAACUUCUGAUCGUAGUACUGUGUAAAUUCAUAAUGUAUAAGUAUCUAGGAAAAAGUGUCAUUCUGUGACUAUUUUUUCCCUAAAAGUGCAAUUUCCUAUAUUUAUCUAAUAAAUAGAUAUUAAAUCAUCAUAAUCAGUACUGGUAGUAUUGUAGUGACAGGAAGGAAUCCACACACUGCCAAAGAUUGCUAACAUGCAUUUAGUAAGAAUCAUAGCUUAGGUCUAUAUUGCUUCUGGCUAUUGAGUUCCAGUAUGGAAAAGACCCAAUUCGUCUAUACUUGACAAUGUCCUGUACAUUUUGCUCUCAAGCAGAGUUAACAGAAGCAGUUCCCUGUCGUAGGUAAAUGUGCACAUUACUGUCAGCAUAUUGUUUAGCAAAGUGGACCUUGCAGUCAUUCAAGUAAUAGGUCAGAAUACCAAAAAUUCGAAGGGACACAUGAAGUUAGAAAGGACAAAGCAUGCACUUUAAGGAUAAAUGGAUCUGGCUUUGAAUCUACUCCCAGUCUUUUCUUUAUGUGCUUGGGCAAAUUACUUCAUUUUUCUGAGCCUUGAUGUUCUCUGGGAAAAAAGUGAAGUUAAGAAAAACGUUCUUUGCCGGAUUGAUGAAUGGAUAAGACACAGCAUAUAUAAAAUGUAUAAUUCAGUGCCUAAGAUAGUUGCUCAAAAAGUCUAGCUGCUGUUAUGAGAAAGCAUUGAUAUUCCUUUAGACCUUUAGGUUUACUUGAUAUGGUUUUUUGGGAAAACAAAAACGUCUACAAUGUGAUUGAAAAUACUUGGAUGCUGCCCAGUUCGGUCCCUUAACUCAUCUUACACGGUAUUGCACUGAGUGGGAAUGGAAAGCACUUAACAAUGAAUUAAGAAUAUUUCAGUCCAGGACACCUGAGUUGCCUUGUGCUUAGGUUAUGAUCCCAGGGUCCUAGGAUAGAGUCCCGCAUAGGGCUCCCUGCUCAGCAGGGUGCCUGCUUCUCCCUCUCCCUCCCUCUCCCCUGCUCAUGCUCUCAUUCUCUCACUCCCUCUCUCUCAAAUAAAUAAAUAAAAUAUUUAAAAAAUAUAUUUCAGUCCAGAUGGUAAAGAAGAGAUAUGAAAUAAAAUCUCCCUAACAUGUUUAAUAGAAUAACUGACAAAUCCCUAGAUUAUAAUUUUGUUGCCUGGAGUAAAACCAAUUAUCAAAUCAAUUCAAGUUGUUUCUGAAGCAACUGUACUACUCAUUCCUGCCAUUGUCUAACAGACAUGACACUGAAAAUAAGAAUGUUGCUGUAUCGUGAUUGCAUAUAAGUUGUAAAUAAAUUGUCUCAGAUACAUAACAUAUUCUUAAACUUUAUCCCCAGCAAGCACAAAAUUAUGUUUUUAAAUUUAUUUUAGUAAUCUCUACAUCCAGCAUGGAGCUCACAACUCCAAGAUCAAGAGUCAUAAUCUUUUCCAAUAGAGCCAGCCAGGGUCCCAAAAUUAAUUUUUAAAAUAUUUUAAGAAACUUUCCAUUUUUAAGUUUAUCUGAAUGUUCUCUCAUUUCUGACUUUCUGACUUACAGCCAGAGUAAUCAUAAAUUGAAUAAAAAACUGAAUCUUCCAGAAACUGGGAGAUAUUGGUAUUCUCUCAAAAAUUCCUGUUNNNNNNNNNNNNNNNNNNNNNNNNNNNNNNNNNNNNNNNNNNNNNNNNNNNNNNNNNNNNNNNNNNN